CCCAUCCGUGCCGCAGUUAACACAAUAAGUAAUCCACCUGGGGAGUACGACCGCAAGGUUGAAACUCAAAGGAAUUGACGGGGGCCCGCACAAGCAGUGGAGUAUGUGGUUUAAUUCGAAGCAACGCGAAGAACCUUACCAGGUCUUGACAUCCGAUGCAUAGCUAAGAGAUUAGUGAAGUCCUUCGGGACAUCGAGACAGGUGGUGCAUGGUUGUCGUCAGCUCGUGUCGUGAGAUGUUGGGUUAAGUCCCGCAACGAGCGCAACCCUUAUCGUUAGUUACUACGCAAGAGGACUCUAGCGAGACUGCCGUUGACAAAACGGAGGAAGGUGGGGAUGACGUCAAAUCAUCAUGCCCUUUAUGACCUGGGCUACACACGUACUACAAUGGCUAUUAACAAAGAGAAGCGAUACCGCGAGGUGGAGCAAACCUCACAAAAAUAGUCUCAGUUCGGAUCGCAGGCUGCAACCCGCCUGCGUGAAGCCGGAAUUGCUAGUAAUCGCGGAUCAGCAUGCCGCGGUGAAUACGUUCCCGGGCCUUGUACACACCGCCCGUCACACCAUGAGAGCCGGGGGGACCCGAAGUCGGUAG
rnacentral:rRNA from 1 species